rnacentral:rRNA from 2 species
UGAGGAAUAUUGGUCAAUGGGCGAGAGCCUGAACCAGCCACGUCGCGUGAAGGAAGACUGACCUUACGGUUUGUAAACUUCUUUUGUAGAGGGGUAAUGGCAGAUACGUGUAUUUGCGUGAAAGUACUCUACGAAUAAGCAUCGGCUAACUCCGUGCCAGCAGCCGCGGUAAUACGGGGGAUGCGAGCGUUAUCCGGAAUUAUUGGGUUUAAAGGGUGCGCAGGUGGCUAAUCAGGUCAGUGGUGAAAAGCUAUGGCUCAACCAUGGUCUUGCCAUUGAAACCGUAUAGCUAGAGAGGAGACGAGGUAGGCGGAAUGUGUGGUGUAGCGGUGAAAUGCAUAGAUAUCACACAGAACUCCGAUUGCGAAGGCAGCUUACCAGGCUUUAUCUGACACUUAGGCACGACAGCGUGGGGAUCAAACAGG